GCUUCGGGAACGUAGCUCCUCCGGGAGUGUUAUAGCCCGUUGCUCAAUACCCCUGCGGGGACCGAGGUUCGCGCUCUGCAAGGACGCUGGCAUAAUGGUCAUCAGCGGCCCGUCUUGAAA
rnacentral:rRNA from 1 species